AAAAUCCGUUGGCUUUAGUGAUCGUGAGGGUUCAAGUCCCUCUACCCCCA
rnacentral:tRNA from 1 species